GUAGAUGUAGUUUAAUAAAAAUAUCAGAUUGUGAUUCUGAAGUUGAGGGUUAAAGCCCCUUCGUCCACC
rnacentral:tRNA from 1 species